AGGGAAAACAAGCUCCAAGACUGUCAACAUGGUGACCGCUAGCAAUACUGAUGGGUCGCAAGGGAUUCUUCCGUCCUAAUGGGGAAUGGGUCACAUGCUUCUGUUCGUGGCAUUGGCACGGUGGAUCUGAAGUUUACUUCG